AGGUUUUAUUUACGCAGCCAAACAAAGUUCACCGCCGCCGCCUUCCCGCGCUCAGCGCCGGCAAGGGUUAAGCGCCGGGACUGGCGGGCCCCGGGACCCCCGCCUGUUGGCCGCGAGCCUCGGGACGAGGGGGCGAGCGCAGGAGUCACGUGGGCAGGCGAGAGGUCCAGCCCUGCGACGACUCCCCACCCCCACGCGACCACCCCGGGGGUGACAGAAAAGACCCAGCACUCCUGCCCCAAGUCAGGCUGUGCCCACACGUGCCCACACGUGCUCCGGGCCGACCACUGUCCCCUCCGUGUGGCAGAGGAGCUGAGCAGGCUUAUGCUUCUUGCCGGCAGGAGCCCCGCCAGGGUGUCUGCCUCGCCCAAAUGCCCCCCUGUGGGAACACGAAGGACAAUGGCGGGAGGGAACCGACCUCCACGGCCAGAAAGUGCCCCAUGGUGGCAGGGCUGUGCUCUGGAGCCCAUCCGGUCCACCCCCCCCUGCCUGUGGUCUAACCGCUGGGGCUCCCGCUGCCAAACUUGACAUCUGCAGAGGAGAUGGGAAACAGCUGGGCAGCACCCUUCACAUAAGCACUUCGGGCGCCUGGGUGGCUCAGUCGGUUAAGCAUCUGACUUCAGCUCAGGUCAUGAUCUCA